rnacentral:rRNA from 1 species
AUUGAACGCUGGCGGCAGGCCUAACACAUGCAAGUCGGGCGAGUGGCGGACGGGUGAGUAAUGUAUGGGGAUCUGCCUGAUGGAGGGGGAUAACUACUGGCAACGGUAGCUAAUACCGCAUACCAUCAGAUGACACCAUAUGUGAGUAGCUUGUAGGUACGGUAACGGCUUACCUAGGCGACGAUACCUAGCUGGUAGGAGAGGAUGAUCAGCCACACUGGGACUGAGACACGGCCAAGACUCCUACGGGAGGCAGCAGUGGGGAAUAUUGCACAAUGGGCGAAAGCCUUAUGAAGCCAUGCCGCGUGUAUGAAGAAGGACUUCGGGUUGUAAAGUACUUUCAGUAGGGAGGCGUUACCGACAGAAGAAGCACCGGCUAACUCCGUGCCAGCAGCCGCGGUAAUAC